UCUGCCCUCAUUCUCGCACGGCGCACUGAACCACCAACAGUUGGGAAAUCUAGUUGCUUCAAUUGCAAAAAAAAGUUGUCAUACGGCCUCAUCGUGUUCGUCUUUGGGAUGAGUGCUGCUGUGCAGGGGGUACCCCGUCCUGCUCAGCCCAUGUUGGGGGCCGGGCGGGUUCACGGGUUAUACCCUAACAUACGGCCACCGCAUUUAAAGCUUGCUCUUUCGAAAGGGCACAAGGAUGAAACCAAGGGAAAAGCAGAAUGUGUCAAGAAAACGACGACAUAGAAAGCCAGUCAUUAUUUUAUUCCUUCAGGUCCCAUCAAAAUCGUCCUCUGUUUACUGCCCGUCACAUUUCCAUCUUUGCUGUUGGAAUGUUGUUCCAUGUACCAUCCAAAAACUGCUUGGUCCCAAACUCACUGUGUAAAUAAAGAUUGCAAAAUCUUUAUAUUGUUUAAUGAUUUAGUAUACAAGACUCGGAUAAUGUACUCCAAAGGUAGAGGGUAAAAUAUAUUACAUGUAUC